GGAAAGCAUCGAUCAGGAGAAUGAAUGCAUUCGUUUUGCAUCCCAAAACCUCUCUCCAUGGAAUUCAGGAAAGAAAUAACUGUAAACUUCAAGGACAAGAAAGCAAAGGAUCUGUUUGAAGCUCUCUACUCACACUGCACAGACGCUGCUGUGGACUCCGUGGUACGAAUUCAGGCAUAGAUCGCUGCGUAGCUACCUGUUUGCUGAGAAAUUCUCAAAGUAGUUUGGUUUUUCGUUACAUGCGCACACGCAGCUGUUGAAGUAGAUACCAAGGAAACCGUUAAAGCGUCUCUCUCACAUCGCAAUUAUUUUAAGGGCGAGGGAGGAAGAAGGCGAUGGGAAAAAGUGGAGGGGGUUCCUUUUUCAGGCUGCGCAUUUCGGCGCGCGAAGAAUUUGGACGGAGUAGUGAAUGUGGGUUUACAGUUCGUUACCUGGAGAUUUCUUCCCAGAGAGGGCCCUUGAAGGUGGCUUCCCGGAAGACGGCGUCCAUCUCCGACCGGAUCUCGAGCAACGCCAGCGUCUCCUGACGCGGCCACCUGCUGCCUGACGGUCCGCCUCGCUCUGCCUCCUCGUCGUCCGGGAAGCCUACGGCACCGGAUACGGUUGAACCCAGCUCGUCGAAACUGGCUGCGGCCUGAGGAGGAGGCGGCGGCGGCGGCGGACGGGAGCUGAUCGGCGAGGGGAUCUCGACCGCCAGCUGCUGCUGCUGCUGCGGCGGCGGCUGUGUGGGGUCGACCAGCACCUGAGGUCGAGUAGCGUCCAUCUCGGACAGGAAUUGUGGGCCUCCUCCCGACUGCUGCUGCUGCAUGGCGGUGACCUGCCGCCAGCAACAAGAAGUAGAAUUGAUGGAUUCUGUGCUGUAUCUUCCUUCCUCUCCUCCCUCCCUGCUGACCGAGGGGAGAGAAAUCGAAAGAGAAAGAGAGAGAGAAAGGAAGGUGGAUGAUCAACUGGGGAUUGGAGCAAUCAGAAAUCGUAAAAGGAACUCAGUACACGGAGUGAAAAAUGGAAAAAAAAAAAAAACAA